rnacentral:misc_RNA from 1 species
AACGCACAUUGCGCCCGCCAGUAUUCUGGCGGGCAUGCCUGUCCGAGCGUCAUUUCAACCCUCGAGAGUCUCUCUCGGUGUUGGGGAUCGACCCUUUCGUCGUCCCCUAAAUCCAGUGGCGGUCCGGCUGAGUUCCUCUGCGCAGUAACUGCUCUCGCAGGCGGAAGGCAGCCGUCACCAGCCGUUAAACCCCCAACUUUACCAAGGUUGACCUCGGAUCAGGUAGGAAUACCCGCUGAACUUAA